rnacentral:rRNA from 1 species
GACGAACGCUGGCGGCGUGCUUAACACAUGCAAGUCGAACGGUAAGGCUCCAGCUUGCUGGGGUACACGAGUGGCGAACGGGUGAGUAACACGUGGGUGACCUGCCCUGCACUUCGGGAUAAGCUUGGGAAAUUGGUUCUAUUCCCGGUUAGGCCCGCACCGUGGGGGUUUGGUGGAAGUUUUUUUCGGUUUGGGUUGGGCCCGCGGCCUAUCAGCUUGUUGUUGGGGUAUUGGCCUACCAAGGCGGCGACGGGUAGCCGGCCUGAGAGGGGGGACGGCCACAUUGGGACUGAGACACGGCCCAGACUCCUACGGGAGGCAGCAGUGGGGAAUAGUGCACAAUGGGCGGAAGCCUGAUGCAGCGACGCCGCGUGGGGGAUGACGGCCUUCGGGUUGUAAACUCCUUUCACCAUCGACGAAGGGUUUCUGACGGUAGAUGGAGAAGAAGCACCGGCUAACUACGUG